GACGAACGCUGGCGGCGUGCUUAACACAUGCAAGUCGAACGGACAGGCCCGGCUUUUGUGGGGUGGUCGAGUGGCGAACGGGGGAGUAACACGUGAGUAACCUGCCCCUGACUUUGGGAUAACUUCAGGAAACUGGGGCUCUUACCGGAGAGGAGCUCUUGCUGCAUGGUGGGGGUUGGUAAGUUUCGGCGGUUGGGGAUGGACUCGCGGCUUAUCAGCUUGUUGGUGGGGUAGUGGCUUACCAAGGCUUUGAAGGGUAGCCGGCCUGAGAGGGUGACCGGCCACAUUGGGACUGAGAUACGGCCCAGACUCCUACGGGAGGCAGCAGUGGGGAAUAUUGCACAAUGGGCGGACGCCUGAUGCAGCAACGCCGCGUGCGGGAUAACGGCCUUCGGGUUGUAAACCGCUUUCGCCUGAGACGAAGCGUGAGUGACGGUACCGGGUAAAGAAGCACCGGCUAACUACGUG
rnacentral:rRNA from 1 species